GACGAACGCUGGCGGCGUGCUUAACACAUGCAAGUCGAACGGAAAGGCCCUGCUUUUGUGGGGUGCUCGAGUGGCGAACGGGUGAGUAACACGUGAGUAACCUGCCCUUGACUUUGGGAUAACUUCAGGAAACUGGGGCUAAUACCGGAUAGGAGCUCCUGCUGCAUGGUGGGGGUUGGAAAGUUUCGGCGGUUGGGGAUGGACUCGCGGCUUAUCAGCUUGUUGGUGGGGUAGUGGCUUACCAAGGCUUUGACGGGUAGCCGGCCUGAGUGGGUGACCGGCCACAUUGGGACUUAGAGACGGCCGCGACUGCGACGGGAGGCAGCAGUGGGGAAUAUUGCAGAUGGGGCGGAGGCCUGAUACAGCAACGCCGCGUGCGGGAGUACGGCCUUCGGGUUGUAAACCGCUUUCGCCUGUGACGAAGCGUGAUUGACGGUAAUGGGUAAAGAAGCACCGGCUAACUACGUG
rnacentral:rRNA from 1 species